rnacentral:rRNA from 1 species
UACAGAGGUGGCAAGCGUUGUUCGGAAUUACUGGGCGUAAAGGGCGCGUAGGCGGUCUUAUAAGUCUCGUGUGAAAUCCCUCGGCUUAACUGAGGAACUGCACGGGAUACUGCAAGACUUGAGAUCGGGAGAGGGAAGCGGAAUUCCGGGUGUAGCGGUGAAAUGCGUAGAUAUCCGGAGGAACACCGGUGGCGAAGGCGGCGUUCCU